rnacentral:lncRNA from 1 species
ACAGAUUCACUGAAUUUUCGUUAUUUAUUUUAAUGCUUCCCCCACUUUGCUCCGAACAUUUUAACCCAAUGUAGUAGCAUUCAGCUAGGACAUCUUGCCUGUAGAUCUCAAAAAAAUGCUAACAUUUUUCCCUAACACUCAACACGCUAAUAUUACCUUAGAAAAAAUACAAGUCCUUGUUCCAUCCCAGUGUGGCCAAAGCAAGCAGUGAGUGCAGGAUGUCCUUUAAGAUAAUCCAACAAACUGCACACACUAACAUUGCCUUCAAAAUAACCUAACCCGUGCAUUGCACAGGCAAUGACUAGUAUAUGAGAAAAGGUUGGAACAAAGUUUCGAUCAUUGCCUGAAGUUGGAACCUUCAUAUUGUUUAACACUUUUCCAAAAGGCAGCUGCAUGGGAAAAAAGAAAAAGGAGAUGAAGAUGGGGUUCCCCUCAGUGAAGAAAAUGCUAGCCAAGGCAUGUGUUAUAAUUUCUGUUCAUAUGAUUUAAGUUGCUCAUUAUGAAAAUAAUUUAUUUGGCCUGGAUGCAUUAUUUGGUGUAAUUUAUUUGCGUAUACUUUGAGUGUUGUUACUUAUUAGAACUUUUGUUUGAAUUUAUUUUCUUAUGCUUUGAGGAGUGUUACUACUCAUUAAAACUUCUGUUAUUAAAAUAUGGAAACAAUUUUUUCUUCUCAUUUGUUCCCCCUCUUUAGAGAAAGUAACCAAUACCAGGUGUUUGUACUUCUCUACACUCUAAAUGGCUUUUCAAUUUAUUGAAUACCAUAAUCUACAGAUAAUGCUCUUACCUUGAGCGAUAUUUCAAAGCCUUAACAUCUCAACAUGGAGAAGUUUUUAGACUCUACAAAUGAAAUUUCAACUAAUAGGUUCGUUCUACAAUUUGCACAAGAAAUUUUGCAAUAUUUUGAUGCAGUGUGUAGUGUAUUAAAAAAAAAAUACUACAUCUAAUUUCUUUGUAGUUAGUACAAGAUUUAUUUUUAUUUUGUGGAAACAAAGAUUCAUUUUCAAUUGGUGGAAGCACUAGUUACAUUUUCUGAUACUAUAAUUUCUACCAGUGGUAAGCGGCGAUCGAACUAGGCAAGAAGUUGCAUGUGGCUUGGAACAAUUUGAUAUGGCAGAGGAGCUGGCGAUGGAUUAAGGUCAAGCUGUAUUUUCAAAGUCGCGUCAUUUUCCCCGACUUCAGGUCCUUCAUAACACGGCAAGAGAAAAAUGAACUGGAAUAACUAGAUAAUAGCGUGUUGGAGGAACUUCUUGAAUCACCAGAAGAAUAACACAAGAAACAAUCCUUUUUUAUUUUUUCCCCUUAUUAUCUAUAUCUUUCUACACUGUUUUGCAUAACAUUUAUUUGCCUUUAGAGGGAAAUUAAUAGAAGAAUUUCCGACAUGUUUGCAAUGAUGGGUUUCUCUUGAAAACCUAUCAAGAAGUCAAUGAAGGACAACAAAUCCAAAUGGGAAAUGAAGGUUGUUCAAAAGUCAGUCGUUGACAAAUAGAGCACGCACUUGUAUUUCACAUCCAAGAAGAAGGACAAAUUGUCAAAUAUACAUGUUCCUGAUAUGAAUAAGAUUCUUAUUAACUAGGUAUUAAGUCCAACUCAUCAUAUAUCUUCGCAAUCUGAGCUGUUAUCAGUUCUUCGUUGAAGACUACUUUGGGACAAGGAAUAUUCCACUAUCUUACCU